rnacentral:lncRNA from 1 species
ACAGGAGUGGGUUUAGCUGUGAGAUCUUGUUUUCAUCUGGAUCUGAAGUAGCCCUGCCUCAAGGGCUAUCCUCUCUCUUCAUUGUCAUCCCUGACUGAAAGCUUCUGCCAAGAACACAGGAGAUAUAAGCAGUUUCACCUAACUGAGGCAGCCUGCUGAGAGGGCAACGAAGGUCUUGUCUACUGAGAGGAAACACGUGUUCAAGAUGGCAGGAAGAGUUAUUAGCAAAGCUGGGUCUAACAUCAAGCUGUCUUCAGUCACUAGCAUCUUGAAGUUUGUUUGUAGCUCUGUAUGGAACUGAUCCAGAUAAGUUGACUACAAUUCUGCAGUAUCAUGCCUCAGCUCAUAUGUGUCUGGAGGAGUUGAAGCAAGAACAAAGCUUCUGGACUUGCUGUCCUUACAGAGUUGAUGGUGGGAGGAUGGAAAAAUGGAGUAUGAUGUGAUUACCCUGCUUUCUGCUACAGCCACCAUGCUUGCCUGCUGCCAUGUUUCCCUGCUGUGAUGGACUCUUAUCUCUCUGGAACUCUGUAGUUGUUUCAAUGAGAAUGGCCCUCAUACGGCUCAUGUAUUAGAAUAUUUGACUCCUAAGUGGUAGAACUGUUUGGGAAUGGAUUAAGACAUAGGACCUGUAGAAGAAGGUCUGUCACUU